rnacentral:misc_RNA from 1 species
GAGCGAGAAGUUUCCAUGCCCACCACAAAAUUAUUAAAACUAAUCCCAAUUCCUGUGGCGUCACAAAUUGCUACCAGUAGCUAGCUAUAGUGGGUCCAGAAUGAUUCUAGAAGAGUGGGAAAAAUAAAGGGAAUUAAUUUUAAUAAUUUGGUUCUCUAACAAAAUUUAAAUCUAAAUCAUAAAUAAAAAAAAAAAAGUAUC